GGGAAAUCUGGUCUGUUUUAUAAUACUGCUAGACUGACUAGAGCUCCUUAUCAAGGACCUAGCAUCCUCAGAUGCAAAGGUUACACUCAGGGGUGUAAAACAAAACGCAAAACAAAAAACCCACAAAAAAUUAUUUUAAAUGUGUCAAUAAUAAUAAUAAUAAUAAUAAUUAUUAUUAUUAUUAUUUUGAAGUAAUUUAGAGUCAUCCAGUCACAUUUUUAAAAGUUGUAACAAAUGUGUUGGUUAAUAAUAAGUGUCACAUGGCUAAUUCUUUUAAUAAGUAUCAUAAUUCAUGUUCUAUAGUGAGAAAAAUAAGCUUAGAGUAUGAGUAGAUAAAGCUUCAUUUUGAAUUUGAGAGAAUGUGAUCUAUGAGUCAGCCAGACAGCAAGCAUAGGCAUGGCCCAAGCAUAUUGUAAAUUGAGUUGGUUGUAUGUCUAAGUUUGGAUUGAGGGUCCUGUCAAACUCUCUCAUCUCACCUUUGGUUUCCCCAGAGAUGCAUUUGGUGGUUCUGAUGACAGUAAGAACCUCUAAUACACAUAUGGAUCAAGUAUGUGUCUUGGUCAUACUCCCUGGAAGCAGAGCCUGAGACAGGGACUCUUUUGCAAGUGACUUAUUGAGAGUAUGCUCUCAAGAGAAAUUGAUUAAGGAAGGUAUCAUGGAACAGCAGGGAUAGAGCUAAACCAGAAUGUGGUCUCUGCUAGAGACCAGUUUUGACUUGAUCCUGUGGGAAACUCUAGAGUAGGAAUUGCACCAUCCAGUUGGUCCUCUUGUCACAAGGAGGCCAGCCUUUUGUACCCCUCAUCAGUCACUCAUGGGCAGUAGGUUAGUAUUAAUACCUAGGCAAAGAGGGUAGAUCUCUGAGAGCAACCAAUACUCAAGGCAGCCUAAGAUGUGUGCACCAGCUCAAGAAAGGGAUCUGGCCAGGGCACCAAGAGUAUCUACUUCACAUGGAAACACUGUACUAUUGUUACCGCUGUUGACCGGUGACGAGUCCUUGCUUCCCCAAUGUUGAAGAAUAACACCAGAGAAGCACGCAGAGGCAAGGUCAG
rnacentral:lncRNA from 1 species